UACAGAGGGUGCAAGCGUUGUUCGGAAUUAUUGGGCGUAAAGCGCGUGUAGGCGGCCGUGCAAGUCGGGUGUGAAAGCCCUCGGCUCAACCGAGGAAGUGCGCCCGAAACUGCAUGGCUUGAGUACCGGAGAGGAUGGCGGAAUUCCCCAAGUAGAGGUGAAAUUCGUAGAUAUGGGGAGGAACACCGGUGGCGAAGGCGGCCAUCUGGACGGAUACUGACGCUGAGACGCGAAAGCGUGGGGAGACAAGCAGGUAGUAAGCCAACCCGUGAUACGUCCAAGUCACCAAGUCU
rnacentral:rRNA from 1 species